rnacentral:rRNA from 1 species
UGGGGUGCAGCAGGCGCGAAAACUUUACAAUGCUGGAAACAGCGAUAAGGGGACCUCGAGUGCCAGGUUACAAAUCUGGCUGUCGUGAUGCCUAAAAAGCAUUGCAUAGCAAGGGCCGGGCAAGACCGGUGCCAGCCGCCGCGGUAACACCGGCGGCUCGAGUGGUAACCGUUAUUAUUGGGUCUAAAGGGUCUGUAGCCGGCCGGAUAAGUCUCUUGGGAAAUCCAGCAGCUCAACUGUUGGGCUUUCAGGAGAUACUGUCUGGCUCGAGGCCGGGAGAGGUGAGAGGUACUUCAGGGGUAGGGGUGAAAUCUUGUAAUCCUUGAAGGACCACCAGUGGCGAAGGCGUCUCACCAGAACGGACCUGACGGCAAGGGACGAAAGCUAGGGGCACGAACCGGAUUAGAUACCCGGGUAGUCCUAGCCGUAAACGAUACUCGCUAGGUGUCGGCCACGGUGCGACCGUUGUCGGUGCCGUAGGGAAGCCGUGAAGCGAGCCACCUGGGAAGUACGGCCGCAAGGCUGAAACUUAAAGGAAUUGGCGGGGGAGCAC